rnacentral:rRNA from 1 species
AGCGAACGCUGGCGGCAGGCCUAACACAUGCAAGUCGAACGAACCUUUCGGGGUUAGUGGCGGACGGGUGAGUAACACGUGGGAACGUGCCUUUAGGUUCGGAAUAACUCAGGGAAACUUGUGCUAAUACCGAAUGUGCCCUUCGGGGGAAAGAUUUAUCGCCUUUAGAGCGGCCCGCGUCUGAUUAGCUAGUUGGUUGAGGUAAUGGCUCACCAAGGCGACGAUCAGUAGCUGGUCUGAGAGGAUGAUCAGCCACAUUGGGACUGAGACACGGCCCAAACUCCUACGGGAGGCAGCAGUGGGGAAUCUUGCGCAAUGGGCGAAAGCCUGACGCAGCCAUGCCGCGUGAAUGAUGAAGGUCUUUGGAUUGUAAAAUUCUUUCACCGGGGACGAUAAUGACGGUACCCGGAGAAGAAGCCCCGGCUAACUUCGUG